UUGACUUGGGAAGAGAGCAAAAAGCUCAGGGUCCCUCAAUCUCCAUGUCCACUUUUAAGAGUUACACCCUCAUUUCAGCUGGACUUACUAACACUUAACAAUGCUAUGGUUGUGUUUAGAAAUGUGUUUUUAGUAUUCUAAUUGAGUAACAGUAAUUGUACUUCUAAACUGUCAAAGAAUAAUUUUUGUCUUUAAAAGCCAGAGCCAUAUAUUUAUGCCUUAAAAUAUUAACUGCAGUCUUUGUGUACUUAAAAUGUACUAUAAAGAAAAUGAUGCCUGCAAACAAUGCCUUGCUCCAACAAUACUGGGUAUUUGCUUCAACAAUAUUGCUGUACAGUAUACCUUCAUAGAAAAAAUAGCCUUUUUAGUUCUAUUAAGAUGGAAUGGAGUUGGUGAAGGAGAGGGAGUCCUGGCGUGCUGCAGUCCAUGGGGUUGCGGUCACUGCUGGGCAACUGAACGACAACCAGGUGGACUGGAGUGAUGAGUGAUUGGGACAGACUGGAAAGGUUGAGGGCUUUCCUUUCAGUAGUCUGUGGAUGGCUGUAAGGACAUCUUUAUCCACUAGAUGGCGGUAGGCAACUUAGAAAAUGACAGCUGAGGGCGGCUGCUGAAACAUUUUCACUUAGGUUCCUGCUUUUUGUUCGUUUCACAAGUUGCCUAACUGGAAGCACAGCAAAUGCUGAGGAAGUCCGCCUCAAAUGUUCACAUUCACAUUCCAGGCAAAGCAUUCCCAGCUGAUUCAUAGGAUGCAGCCAACCCCAGGGCCCUAAGGAAAAGGCUGUGGAUCUUCUUGACCUUGGAUUAGACACAAAACAACAAGCAACCAAAGAAAACAGGUAUGUUGGACUUCAAAAAAUUAAAAAUGUGCUUAAAAUGACACUAUCAAUAUAGUGAAGAAAGGCAACCCACAGAAUUGGGGAAAAUACUUGUGUGUGUAUGUGCUCAGUUGCUUCAGUCAUGUCUAACUGUGACCUGUGGGCUGUAGCCCACCAGGCUCCUCUGUCCGUGGGAUUCUCUAGGCAAGAAUACUGGAGUGGGUUGCCAUGCCCUCUUCCAGGGAAUCUUCCCAACCCAGGAAUUGAACCCAUAUUUCUGGCAUCUCCUGUAUCACAGACAGGCUCUAUUGUACCUAAUAAAGUACUGCUAUCCAAAAUGUACUAAAAAAAACUCUUGUAAACUCAAAAGAGAGAAACCAGUGUUUACAGGGGACAGCUGAUCUAAAUAGGUAUGUCUCCAAAGAAGAUACACAAUAGCUAAUAAGCACAGGGAAAGAUGCUCAAUAUCAUUAGUGAUCAGAGAACUGGAAAUCGAAACCUCAGUGAGAAGUUCAGACUCACUAGGAUGUCUGGACAGGAACAGUUGGCAAGGAUGUACAGGAAUUGGAACCCUCAUACACUGCUAAUAUGGAUGUAAAAUGCGGCAACCUGUUUGCAAAACAGUCUGGCAAUUCCUCAAAAGUUAAACUUAGAAUUAAUUAACAUAUGACCCAGGCAUUCUACCAGUUAUGUACCCAAGAGAAAUUAAAAUAUACAUCCACACAAGCACUUACACACA
ensembl:lncRNA